rnacentral:rRNA from 1 species
UACGUAGGGGGCGAGCGUUGUCCGGAUUUAUUGGGCGUAAAGAGCUCGUAGGCGGCUUGGCAAGUCGGGUGUGAAACCUCCAGGCUCAACCUGGAGACGCCACCCGAUACUGCCAUGGCUAGAGUCCGGUAGGGGACCACGGAAUUCCUGGUGUAGCGGUGAAAUGCGCAGAUAUCAGGAGGAACACCGGUGGCGAAGGCGGUGGUCUGGGCCGGCACUGACGCUGAGGAGCGAAAGCGUGGGGAGCGAACAGG